CAACCUAUCUUUUUCGCCCCGGGGAUAACUAGCCGAAAGGUUAGCUAAUACCUGAUACGAUCAUCGAGUGGCAUCACUUGAUGAUGAAAGCAGCAAUGCGCGGAUUGAGGGGGCUGCGGCCCAUUAGCUAGUUGGUGAGGUAACGGCCCACCAAGGCAACGAUGGGUAGCUGGUCUGAGAGGACGACCAGCCACACUGGGACUGAGACACGGCCCAG
rnacentral:rRNA from 1 species